UACGUAGGGGGCUAGCGUUGUCCGGAAUCAUUGGGCGUAAAGCGCGUGUAGGCGGUCCGGUAAGUCCGCUGUGAAAGUCGGGGGCUCAACCCUCGGAUGCCGGUGGAUACUGUCGGGCUUGAGUACGGAAGAGGCGAGUGGAAUUCCUGGUGUAGCGGUGAAAUGCGCAGAUAUCAGGAGGAACACCGAUGGCGAAGGCAGCUCACUGGGACGGUACUGACGCUGAGACGCGAAAGCGUGGGGAGCGAACAGG
rnacentral:rRNA from 1 species